CGUAGGGUGCAAGCGUUAAUCGGAAUUACUGGGCGUAAAGCGUGCGCAGGCGGUUAUGUAAGACAGUUGUGAAAUCCCCGGGCUCAACCUGGGAACUGCAUCUGUGACUGCAUAGCUAGAGUACGGUAGAGGGGGAUGGAAUUCCGCGUGUAGCAGUGAAAUGCGUAGAUAUGCGGAGGAACACCGAUGGCGAAGGCAAUCCCCUGGACCUGUACUGACGCUCAUGCACGAAAGCGUGGGGAGCAAACAGGAUUAGAUACCCUGGUAGUCCACGCCCUAAACGAUGUCAACUGGUUGUUGGGUCUUCACUGACUCAGUAACGAAGCUAACGCGUGAAGUUGACCGCCUGGGGAGUACGGCCGCAAAGGUUG
rnacentral:rRNA from 1 species